AUAACACGCGGGCACGCUUGUCUGGUGAUCAUAAUAACUUUUCGAAUCGCAUGGCCUUGUGCUGGCGAUGUUUCAUUCAAAUUUCUGCCCUAUCAACUUUCGACGGUAGGAUAGAGGCCUACCAUGGUUUUAACGGGUAACGGGGAAUUAGGGUUCGAUUCCGGAGAGGGAGCCUGAGAAACGGCUACCACAUCCAAGGAAGGCAGCAGGCGCGCAAAUUACCCAAUCCCGAUACGGGGAGGUAGUGACAAUAAAUAACAAUACAGGGCUUUCUAGUCUUGUAAUUGGAAUGAGUACAAUUUAAAUCCCUUAACGAGGAACAAUUGGAGGGCAAGUCUGGUGCCAGAGCCGGGUAAUUCCAGCUCCAAUAGCGUAUAUUAAAGUUGUUGCAGUUAAAAAAGCUCGUAGUUGAAUUUUAGGCCUGGUUGGACGGUCUGCCUUUGGUUUGUACUGUCCUGACUGGGUCUUACCUUCUGGUGAGCUGUCCGUGUUGUUUACUCAGUGCGGCAGGGAACCAGGACUUUUACUUUGAAAAAAUUAGAGUGUUUAAAGCAGGCAUUCGUUGAAUACAUUAGCAUGGAAUAAUAGAAAUAGGACUUUGGUUCUAUAGGUGGUUUACUAGGGACCGAAGUAAUGAUUACUAGGGAUAGUUGGGGGCAUUAGUAUUUACUUGUCAGAGGUGAAAUU
rnacentral:rRNA from 1 species